UUAAGUAAAAUCUUAGCUAGGGUAAUAAAUGAGAUGGAUUUAAAAGGUUGAAAUACAAUAUGGUCGACUAAAUUAGGGUUGACUAUUAAACUCUAGAUCGUCUUGAGCAUUUGGGUCAAAAGGAUGAAUUAUGUAGUAACCAUACGCCAGUAGGUUCUAGAAGGUUGCUUUGUAAUACUUCGACCAAUCCGAUUGUCGGGUCAUCAUUGCUAGAUAGUUUUAUCGAUUAGUAUAGAAAGUUAUUCCUAUGCUACCGACUUAGAUUCGAACCUGUUGGUGCAAAAAUCCGCUUGCGCCGGAGAAGCUGGAGUCGAGGGAGUCGCGGUCGCCGCCAGGACCUGC
rnacentral:lncRNA from 1 species